GGCGGACGUGGCCAAGUGGAUUAAGGCAGUAAAC
rnacentral:tRNA from 1 species